GAAUGUGCGGGUUACGAUUUUUUAUUAUUUUUUCUUUUUUGUGUGGUAAAGCAUAAAAGGAACAUCAUCCACAAGUCGCGCUCCAUUUUUCAGAGCUGCCACAUAUGCCUUGUAACAACUCGAUUUUUAGUGGUGUUAGAAACAGUUGUUCAAGACCACCAAAUCCAACGAGUAAGCUUGUAAAUUUUAAUAUUUUGUAUUUACGAGUCAAAUUUGAUUUUAGAAAGAUUUCUGC
rnacentral:lncRNA from 1 species